ACCAGACCAGGUUACUCCAAGCCCUGUCCAACCUGGCCUUGGACACUUCCAGGGAUGGGACAUCCAUUAGCAGCCUGGAGCACGAGCUGGGGUAGGUUUGGUUGGAAUGAGCUUCUCUCUGCUCUGAAGUUAGAGACAUGAAGGGCAGCCUUGUGCUCUAAAUCACGUUUGUCCCCCCAGACCUACAGCUGCCUGGAGCUGUGCUGAACACACCAAGUUCCACUUCAGCCAGUGACCUGGGGAUUAAGGAAAAAUUGUGCUUCCUUUAGAAAUUCCGACAGUACAAAGUGACACUGAGAAAUGCCUUUGCUUCUGCUGGAGGCUUCAAGCCAUUUAAUGUCUUGAGUGUUGUGCCAUGGUGCCUAAUUUAAAACACACCCAUCCGUGAGCCCUGUGAGUGAGCAGUCCCUGUGCUUUGUGCAGCAGGUCUGGCGAGGAGGCUGGGACAGGAGGAUUUGUCUUACCCUUGUGAGAAGUGACUGGGAGGUUGGCAAGUCACAAGGUGAGGAAAUGUUCCUGAAAGUUGAAGGAUGUAAUUGAUUGAAGAAGGUUGGAAGUUUGACAUGAGACUUUAUGUUCCAGCGACAGCUGUAAGUGCAAACCACCAUUAUUAUGCCAGAAAUGGAUUUCCUUCACUUAAUGCCCAGUUGCUCUUUUCCUCUUCUCCCAGUACACUCCUCUGAAGGCCUGGUUAUGCUGAGGUGGAUUUGCUUGCUUUUCUGAUGCAGGAUUUACUCAGAACAGCAGAGGUGAUCGCUGUAUCCUGCCUGUGCCAUACAAAAGGGUAAGAAAAGGACUGUACAGUUUUACUGCCUGGUAUUAGAUACAUCAGAUGAACUUUGUCACUUCCAGCUCCUGCAAACACCUACAGGACUCGGCUGUCCCACUGCUGCUGUUGUCACCCUGUCUUUCUCCAGUCCUUUUUCACUGGAAAACUGGUGUCACCAGAUCACUGGAAAUGUCAGUUUGACAAAUCAGCUUGGAAAAAAGCUGAAAUGUCACUCCUGGUUUUAUUGUUAGUGGUUGAAUUUUGGCAGCCUUUCUUCUUCCUCGGGUUCACAGAACGUAAGGACAAGGUGAUUCACGGGGGAGAACUAUUUGAUUUCCAGUGUGUCACACUUGCUGCUGUAUUGAGUUUGAUAGCUUUCAUUUGAUUAACACAUCUUCCCAAAAGGUAUGCCACCUCAAUUUGAUGGCUUAGGAGACAGGAAAAUCCAUCACUUCUCUCUGAGAAGGUUCAGCAGAGUUCAUGCUUGCUCUGAAUGAUCAAAAGCCUUUACAGAGUGGGGGUGCAGCAGGCUGCCUUAGGGGGAAGGUACACUGAGGUUUGGAGACAAGGUGACAUGAAGAGUUUCAUGGAAAACCAUGGAAUCGUUUGUUUUGGGAGGGUCCUUAAAGCUCAUCUCAUUCCAACCCCUUGCCACAGGCAGGGACACCUUCCACUAGCCCAGGUUGCUCCAAGCCCCACCCAACCUGGCCUUGGACACUUCCAGGGAUGGGUGUUACACAACCCACCUGAGGUGGUAACUGAGGUUCUCGUUAAUAGAAUAAUAAUAAUUCACCCUCAGGGUGAAUUGGAGUGAAACGACACUGAAUGACCUGUGUACGUCUAUGAGGCAGGUUUAUAUUAGAACAAUUUAAUUGCAGCAGAAAGGAGAUAUGCAACCAUUGUGGUUCUUUUCUAUAAAAAUAUAAAGAUAUCACGAAGAAAAUAGAUAAGAAAGAAAGAGAAGUAAAGGGCAAGAGUGGUGAGGAAAGAUGUCACCUCCCAUGGAUCCAGCAAUGACUUAUCAUUGCAUUUUCCAUGUCCUUGAUCAGAGUGAUGGUCACAGUCUUGACCUGUUGGGAGUGGGGGCUCAUGUGACAAGGAUUUCCAGGGGUUAUGUAUGUUCAGUCUCGGGGGGAAUGCCUCGAUAGCUCCCCUAGCAGGGGAAUUUUACACUGUAAGAUGCAGCUGUGCCUUAUCGGGAGGAGGAAAUUGGCAUGAAAAAAAAACAUUACCCCACCUCUGCAGGAUCUGCUCCUUAUCAGCCUUUUCCUUUAUCUGGAAACACUUUGUUGAAGACAUCAGUCCCAGGUUAUCAGGGAAACAAGAGAUCAAAGGGCUCAACCAAUUUAUGUAAGCAAAGUUUGGUUUUCUCACAGCGGGGCAUUCCGGGCAUUCACAGCUUCUCUGGGCAACCUGUGCCAGUGCCUCACCAUGAGGUACAGUACUAGCUCGGGGCAACUGCUCUUUCCUUUUCUAGUUACCCUCUUUGAUUACUUCUGAUUUUUAAGGUUUUUUUCUGCAAUUUUUGGUCAGAUAGCAUAAUGGAGUGUUGGAUUUCAGCCCAGGUGUCUGAAGACAGGGAAAAUAAUUAAUUGGUGCUGAGGCACACAAGGACUGUUGGAGAGAGAAUUGUGCAUUUGCCUGAGCAGUGUUUGGUUGUCUUGGAUCCUUAUCUCUACUUCAUCCCAGAUGUUCCAGUCACAACGGUGGCAGCGCAAAAGACUGCACCUGACUGAUCCAGGGCAGGUGAGGGGUACGUGCUGCCUGCAGGCUAUUCCCUGCUGCCUGCUGCUGUGAUCUCUGGCAGGUGCAGGCAAGGUGACCUCACCCUGCCAGCUGCCACAUGUACUGCAGCCAUUCAAUUGUGCUGCCUCCUCUUCUGACACCCAUCCGUGUGAUUUCCUUGGUAGCAGCAUUAGGAGUGAGGCUGGGCCAGUGUUCUGCUUUAAUGUGCAUUUAUAAGGUGGAGCUUUUUGACUUGAAACCCAAUAACUUUCUGGUUAAUGCACUUCUGAGAGGCAGACACAGCUUAGCCCUUCAUCUCUGAGACCUCAGAAGUACAGCAAGGCUGGCACUGCUGCACACAGCUGUCACUGUGAAGCUGCCUCUCUCAAGAGGUGACAGCUGAGAGGAAGAGAGAGAGAGAGAAAGAGGGGAAAAUAUUAAAUGGGAUGUCAGAUUCCUCAUGAAUCUGAGACGGAAAUCGGUGUUAGAGGAUGGUCUUGAACUUCCCAUUUUAUGGGCUGCUCCCUUCUGUAAAUCCCUCUUGUCAGUAGGGAAAGGAGAUUCUUUGCAGUACCCUGAGAGCAGAGAAGAUGUCAAGUGCUGCUGGGGAACUUCUGAUGGGGGCCUGGGGACUGUGUUCUCCUGCAGCUGUACAGUGGGCAAGCCUGGAGAGUUUAUGUGGCAUGUGGGCUUGGUGGCCCCAACCUUCUUGUCUCUGGCCUUUUACUCAGAAUUCUCCCUGGGCUGUGGAGGCUGUGGUUGAAAACAAAUCACGUGGACUAAAUGUGUGGUCAUCUGUUGGGAAUACCUUUGUAUAACUGUUUGGAUGUCUCAGGGCUGCAGGUGGGUGAUGGAGCAGCUCAGACAGCGCUCAACCCUAAGUGACAAAACAACAAGAAAAAACCCUUGAAAACAAAAUUUUACUUUUUUUUUUUUUUUUAACUACAGGUUUUCUCCCUGACUAAGCGAAAAAUAUUUAUAAUGACAGUUCAGCUGAAAUUCUCUGAAUUUUAUCUUGCUACUUACACAACUCAAGCAUUGCAACAGCAGGAACCCAAGAGUACAACUGCCUUGUCAUUACAGGAGCUGAGAGAAACAGAAAUAGCAAAUAGUACUACAGAAAUGACAAGCAAAAAUAGGAUUAUUAUUCUUUCAGCCUUAAUCAUGUAAAGUGCAAGCAGUACCGUAGGUAAGGCAAUUUCCCUUAGAUGUGAUUUACGUUGCUGGUGCUCUCUUAUGAAAUGUUGUCUCUAAUUUCUUUUUUUAACUCUUUCUUCUAACAAGACAUGGUCACUGGUGUUAUCUGUUACAGCCCUGUGUCCUGUCAGCUUCAGCCCAAUAUUUCACGUGGUGCCACUGGGGACAGCUUUAUUUCAAAUGAGCAAAUAAAUGCAGCUCAGCUUUGGUCAGGGAUAGCUCUAACAUGCACAAUCUACUCCAUUCACAACCUCAAACAACAUUACUGCUUAGGCAGCCUCCAGGUAAAGAGCUGGAGUAACCUCAGUUGGUUAGGAAAGAAAUUAAUUGGAAUGAAAGUCCUUGAUGUCAUCACAGUGCUGCUGGGCUCUCAGAGAGAGAUUUGAACACUAUGCUGGGAACCUGUUCCCCACAGACACCCACAUCUGCAAUUAAAAAGGGUUAAUGCUCAUUCUGUGAAUCCUUCUCAGCAUUUACUGCUUCAGCAUGACUUUGGUUUUCACUUUUCUUUCUGGAAGGCAAAGGGAUUUUUUUUUUUUUUUGUCUUUAGUACCGUCAAGAACAGGAAUAGAAACUUUGCAAUAAGCUCAGAAUGUUCUUUGGCUCAGAACAUGGGAAAGAGAUUUAGGGUUGGAUUUCCUAUUGCUUCACACUCAUUCCUGCCUGCUAGCAGGGUAAUGAUUUUGGGGAGGCAUUUCUCUUAAUGAGCCAUUGACAAAAUGACCUGUUUCCCCCUAAUUUACUGUUGUAAUCUCUGCUGGUUUCUGGAGGUAAAUGCUUCACCUUCCCUCCUGCCAGUAACCAGGAAGACUGAACUCCAGUGUCAUCUUUUCAAAGACACACUUUGUUUUGUAGACAGGAAGAGCAGGGAGGUGAAGAUGUUUAUCACUUUCUGAGGAGUUUUAUUAGAAUGUUUGGGAUGGAUGGUCUGGUUCCACGACUUUCUUGGCAACUGAUCAUAAUCCUCUAACCUUUAUAGUGAUUAAAUGAUGAAUAUCCAGAAGCAGAGCAAAGUAAAGAAGCAUUCUGCCCCUUCAGAGUGGGAAAACAAGGCAGCACAGGGCUGCCAAGGGACUGGAGCCCAUGUCAGAGCUGGGACUUGUACAAGAGCUCUCUGUCAGAGGUCCCUGUGCACUGUGCCUCCCACUCAUGCCACUGCUGGAGCACUCUGUUCCCAGCAGCUGGUCUUACAGCGUUUUUUGAUUGACUUUACAACUGUGCAAACCCCAGAUAUUAAUAGCAGAGAGAUGUCCAGUGCCUUCAGCUGUUCAGCUGUGUCGCUGGUUGUCUGGGAGCUGAUUCCUGCGUGCAGACAGGGAACUGUCUUUGCUCAAGUACUUCAGUCCAUGGGUUUGUUGUAGGCUGACACGGGAGGAGGAGCAUGUUGGAGGCUUUGACCUGAUCUGGAAUGACAGGCCUGUCAGCAGAGGGGGAGAUCUGUGUGCUCUGUUGAAUGAGAACAUCACGGCAAACACACAUUUCAGUGCAGAACUCACCCAAUGCUGGCAGGUGCCCUGCUCAGUCCUGAAGCUGUCUGCAUGGCAGCAGGAGAGCACACACCUUUGCUGGGCAACAAGAGAACUGUGAGCCCUUAGGGGAUUAAGAGACCAAAAGGAGCAAACGCUUUCAAAAAAGAAAACACCCUGCAGUCACUGUGGUGACUGUUUAUUGGGCACUUACCUGAAGCUGGUUGUGUAUUUUAUUGUUGGGAAGUAGUACUUGGAUUGUCCAUGCUGACAGGCAUUGUAACCUUUUGCCAUGCACAUCUCAAUGUGCCUACAGUCAUCUCUGGCUGUGGUGUCUAACUAACAAAACACGAGGGCAGCAUCACCUGAAAGUGAAACAUCACCUCGCCUCUACAGGCAGGAAGAGGCAGGUGAUGUGUAACUCCCCUGUUAACAUUUUCCUGGCAGGCUGCUGUGAUGCCAGGAAGAGACAACUGAAGCAGCUUUUCAGGAAUUUCCCUGCACAACACAAAGUGCAACACCCCCUGAGCUUGGGGUGGGAGAGACAUGAAGUUCACUCUCCCCUCAUGUCGGGCAGCAGCAGUUCCCACUUCUCUCCAGAAACCACUGGCUCAGCACAAGGCACUGGCUGCCUUGUGCCGAGGAUAUCCCAGUUUGGAAGCUGCAGUGGGCUUAAAUGAGGCAUUUUAGCUGACACAGGGAUGCUUGGCUGCUCAGCCAGCCCUCUGCACUGCAGAGCUUAGUUCUGUUCCGUGUACGAAAACAAAGGGGUUAAACACAUUCUUCGCAGCAAAACAAAGCUUUUAGGGCAGGCAGGCACUUGAUCCUCCUCCUGCUACUACUAUGGAAACAUGUCAGAGCAGAAAACCUGUUGCCAUGAGACUGUAAAAAUAACCUCACCAUCACGUUACGGAGCCACGGACUGGCUGCACCACACGGGUUAUGUAAGAGCUGCUCUGACACUGGGAUGUGGCACUGUGAGCUGGCUCUUGCUCCCAGGAGACAGGCAAUCUUCUGAAAAACCCACAGGCAAGGCAGUCCAGGUAGUAAGUCUGUGUUAUUUUUAGUCUGUGCAUCUGAAACGUAAGCCUGAACUGGACAGAGGCACAUUUAGGUACAUGGUGUGAGUAAGACCAAGCAAUGGUUGGGUUUUUAGGUUAAAAGAAAUCACCCCUCGGUUUUAAUGGAUCUGAAACAGGGUAUUUUUUGGGACUGUGCAUAAUCUGAAGCGUGUGUGGAACUGGCCAGGGCAGGAGAAGGCCCUGCUAAGCUGGAAGGUGGUCAGGGAGCCAGGGAAAUGGUGGUGCCAUGUUUGAAGUUAUCACAGCUGUGCAGAAGGAAAGAAAGCAAAGGACCAGGCCCAGCCCUGUCACCUGAGCAAGGUUUGACAGAAGAGGAGAGCCACUUCCAGAGCUGGAGAAAGAAGGACAACAGCUACAUUUAGAGUUCUUAAAUUCUAUCUAGGAAUAUCUUUACAGAAGUUCAAAAAAUAAAAGGCUUGGCUGGACCCAGAUACUUCCCCGUAGACAGAAAAAAAUCAAACUCACUGAAGUCCAACACUAAAUAUGAUUAGUUUUCAAAAAUCUUCUUAUGCUCUUAAGUGAGUAGUGCUGGGGGAGCAUAUUCAGGCCAGAGCAGGGAGUGUAGAAAACAGUAAAUUUAAAAACCUUUGAAGAAACCAUUACUGGUUACAUCAAUUGCCCUUUUACUACAAGACAAACCUGGUGACUAUCUCUGCUCAGCCCUCCUCAGGCUGCUUUUUAAAAUAUACCUAAGUUUUAUCACUUCAUCUAGUCCUGAAAGCCUCGUUUCUGUUGUCUCUUGCCUUCCACCAGAGGAAUAUGUUUUCCCAGCAAGACUAAAAGGAUGCUGCCUCCUCCUGCCCCUCCCUCCACAUCUUAGAGAGAUUCCUGACGUGCCUCAGAUUUACAACUUUGCUUUGUUUGAAUGCCAUGGGCGUGCACAACUCAACUCCUCUGCUGUGCUUCAGGCAUGCAGUGGCUUCCCAAUCCCUCCUACUCCUGUUCCCGACGUGACAAUGAACCAGCUCUGAAGCCAAACCCCAGAAGUGCUCAUAUGAACCCCCAACAAGGAACAUACACAUGGAAUCAGGAAUGUCCCACUGCUCUGAUUUUAAUGAUCCCACCUCCACCCCAGCCACGGGCAUUUGCCUGGCGGUGUGUCCAGCACGUCUCUGACACCCGAGUUCCAGCACAGAGCAGGAAAGGGUUCGUGAUCCAAGGAAACUGCAGUGCUGUAGCUGAGGAGCCAAGUGCUUCCCAGGGCCCUCCAAUGUCCUGCAAACCCUGAGGGCUGUGGCUUUUGCAGUGUGAGCCCCCUGGUUACAGUUCAAACGUGCUGUGACAAUGGCACGGCCACCUCAGCCCUCCAGGAUGCGGUUGAUGAGCUUCAUCUCCUCGGCAGACAUUGGAUUCAGGUUAAACCCCUUCAGCUCAGGUUUACCUGGGAGAAUGCACACAAAAAUCAGGAUUUUGUCAGAAAAGAAGCAGUUCAUGUUAAACUCAAGUGGGGCUGCAGGGAGGGCAGGGACAGCCCUAAAAGCUGAAGUGGGGUCACCCCAGCGCACUGUGGGAGGUGGUUUAAGGUGCUGGUGGGUGACGGCUCCUCAUGGAGCUAGACAAGGCUGCUGGGGCAGGGAGGGAAUUGCAAACCCAGUGGGCAAGCAGCUGCAGGAACACACAGAGCUUGGGAAUUUCUGGCCCCUCCUGAUGUGUGUCUGCUCCCAGGCCCUGAGAAGGGUCCGGAGCGGGAGCAUUUACCUUGAGCCUCGUAGAGGCGGUUGACCUUCACACGCAGAUCUUUCCGGAGCUUGUUUAUCUCCUCAUCCAGCUCUUCCUGGUCUGGAAUGAGAGAGUGGGAGUGAGGAGGACUGCAGUGGGCUCUGGGGUGGAAGCUCAGCCUCCCAUGGGACACUCAGUGGAGGAGCCCACCCUGGUGAUCCCACCCUGCCCUCAACACCCGCGAGCGGUUUCAUGCUGGAUGUGCUUCCCAGGGCACAGCAUGGGCCAGGAUCAGCCUGUGACUGCCCACCUCAAAACUCAACCCUGGAGAGAACCCUGUUUAUUUUUCAGGAGCACCUCUCCUGUGAGGAAAGGCUGAGAGAACUGGGAUUGU